CACGAGCCGCGCCCGCUCAGGGCUCGGGGGCCGCGGGGCUGCGCUCCCGGGCGCGCCGGGCUCGCUCCAAGCCACGGCCGCUCCGCGCCCCGCCUCCUCCGCCAGCUCCUCCCUCUGCGGGCGGCGGCGGCCAGCUCGCCCUGGGUCCGCGGUGCCCCCAGCAGACCGACCCCGUGCGGGCGGCUGGAGAGAAACGAGGGCCAGAAGGUGGGCGCACGGGGGACGCCGGGCAGAACUGGCAGGCUCCACUGUGGUGCCAGGGCCAGAACCUAUAGACCAUAUUUCUGGGCUCCAUGCCAGCCUUGGCCAACAGGGAGCAACAAGGAGCUACUGCAGCCCCACCAGGGUCCAUGAACACCAUCGGUUUUGUUUUUAACAACAGGCAACCUGUGUCUGAGAGUAUCUUCCUUCUCAAUGCACCCAACUUGGUCUGCCACAUCCUGUCUGGCAGACCACUGUCACACCAGACUUCCAAACACCUUCUCUAUACCUGGCUCUGGAGAAACAGCAGGAGGCAAGAAAGACAGCCCCUGAACACAAGGCAAAUUUAAGACUACAACCAGUGUUUAACACAGACAGUGCACAAGGGUCCAAGAAGACAAACCCUCACAGGCACUCCAGAAAGCAUCUCAAAGGAAAUACCUUGUACUGUAUGGGUGAGGAGCCGGCAAGGUGCCACUCUUAAACCUACAAAUGCUAAGAGCUCCAAUCUAUGCUUCCUACUCUUAAGUUAUGGGGAAGUCAGUACUGCAAAUACCCUGGCUUCUCAGGGUCCCAAGACUCAGGAAGAAGGUAAAA